UACAGAGGGGGCAAGCGUUAUUCGGAAUUAUUGGGCGUAAAGGGCGUGUAGGCGGCUUCGUGUGUCCCAUGUGAAAGCCCUCGGCUCAACCGGGGAACUGCAUGGGAAACUGCGGAGCUUGAGUCCGGGAGAGGAUAGUGGAAUUCCCAGUGUAGCGGUGAAAUGCGUAGAUAUUGGGAGGAACACCGGUGGCGAAGGCGGCUAUCUGGACCGGUACUGACGCUGAGACGCGAAAGCCAGGGGAGCAAACGGG
rnacentral:rRNA from 1 species